rnacentral:rRNA from 1 species
GACGAACGCUGGCGGCGUGCUUAACACAUGCAAGUCGAGCGGUAAGGCCCUUUCGGGGUACGACGAGCGGCGAACGGGUGAGUAACACGUGGGUGACCUGCCCUCAGCUCUGGGAUAAGCCUGGGAAACCGGGUACUAAUACCAGAUAUGACUCCAUGACGCAUGUUGUGGGGUGGAAAGCCUUGUGCGGCUGAGGAUGGGCCCGCGGCCUAUCAGCUUGUUGGUGGGGUGANGGCCUACCAAGGCGACGACGGGUAGCCGGCCUGAGAGGGCGACCGGCCACACUGGGACUGAGACACGGCCCAGACUCCUACGGGAGGCAGCAGUGGGGAAUCUUGCGCAAUGGGCGAAAGCCUGACGCAGCGACGCCGCGUGAGGGAUGACGGCCU